rnacentral:pre_miRNA from 1 species
UGGACAAAUUAUUGUAUUCGACUGCAUUCACGGCGUGAAACAGGGGAUUACACUGUUUUUAAACGGAAAGUGAAUCAAUUAACAUAAUAGACUCCU